UGGAAACACGCCUUGUUUGCUUCUCCAUCAACCAUUUGCCAGGACCCCUUAGUGGCCGAUCAGAAGGACUUGGGGGAGCCUCAGAUUUGGCCAGCGAGUUCGUGGAACCUUAUCUGUGCUAUUCACGAGAGGCUCUGCAGCGUCCUUGCGGUCAGCCUUUGCUAUCUUCCAGACAGAAGUAUCUGCCUCCUUUUGGAGUCAGACAGCCUGGCUUUGCCAGUAACUUCAUGACCUGGAGCAAGUUAUUUAACCUCCCAGCUGCCUUUUCUCGUGUGUAAAAUGUGAGUAAUGUGCCAGUAAUCCGUUUACUGCCAGUCAGCAACACGUUCACCUUCCCUACCUGCUCUGCGGCUCUGACUGGACCCCGAGCCUUUCUCGCUCCGGCAAGUGUGAUGUGAAGCUUCGCCAAUAGAGGGAGCGACCUCAGAUGGAGGUUAUUGUAAUCAUCUAAAAGGACUCUUCCUGUGGCUCCUGCUGGUGUCUUUCUAGUCUACUCCUCCGGGGGAUGGAAUGAAUGCUUGUCCUCCCACUCCUCCAGAAUUGCUCCAGACAGUUGAUGCCCAGCUGGGGGUCACAGCUGCAUUAUUAUCUGAUGGGCUCAGUGCCAGCUCCAUGAAGCCUGACAGUUACAAAGGGUGGAUUAGCAGCAAAAGAAUAUUUAUUAGAAAAAAAAACAACCCUCUUUUUAUUCUUCGGUCCUUUUAUGUGGAGUUUGCCAUAUAUUGCCUGGGUGAAAUAAGAACAGUCCUCUGCUAGCUGUGAGCAGAGGUCCCAUAUCUGGACUAUUUGGCAAUGCCAGGUGAGUGGUGAUGGUUCUCCUUGCCAGCUGUGGAGGACACU